CAAGCGUAUACACGAAGCAGUAACCGGAGAAGAGUACGUCAGCGACUACGACGGAGAUGACAGUCUUUCAACCUCCGGACCCUCCGAAGACGAAGGCUCGUAGCUUGAACCAGAGAUUGUAGGGUGACUUCAAGAGCUGCGAUCAGCUACUGGAUCUUCUCUAUCUCAGUCACCUCAAUCUCUUCCGGCGUUCGUAACCUCUCCCUUUCUCUUUCUCUUUCUCUCUAUAAAACUCCUCUCUCGCUCUCCUCUGUUUUGGUGAGGAAAACGAUGAUCGUAACGGCCUGUGGGACCGACUCCCUUUUAUAACAAUCUUCACUUGCCAGCUCAGCUGAGCUGUAGACCAGAUUCUUUUUAUCACGAACCGGCCCAUUACUUGUUGAACAAACUCGUCACAAUCUCGAAAGGCCCAAAGACUUAGACCUGAUACGACACCGUUCUUCACAAAUCUCCACCUUGUCGAAUUAGGUCUUUCAAACAAAACCUUUCUGCCGAACACUGUUCAUACCAGAAUCGACAAAUCAUGUCGGAAUCACCACAGAACAGCCACACCGGCUCAAACAGCCAUACUCAGACAAAUCCUGAACUCAGUCUCCACCUUCUCCGGUGAACAGCCCAGACCCUCUCUUGUUCAUUCCAGAUCGAGAACCUUCCCCGACACUAACUCUCCCAGCUGAUUUCACAAACCCAAAUCCACUCCCUGCCCCUCUGCAGAAUAUCCCAGAAGAACAGACAAUAAUAAACCCUUCUGAUCCCUCAGCAACCCAGCCACACAGAUUAACCAACCUCGAAUACUACAACGAGAACCUGAACCUCUUCGACGAAGAUCCACUAACCCCCUCAUAAGUCUUUUAUUAAUCUGUUAGUUAACCUUGUUGUUUUGUCAAGAUCAAACCACUAACAAGUUUGUCUCUUACUUUUCCAUGAACUCCUUCCAACAAGACGAUCAAACAACAUAACCAUCUCGAGGUAUCUCAAUGCACGCUCAGGCAACGACCCCCAGCGUUACAAGAUGCUUCUCGAACGUGUUACCAGCUAUUACAAGCGUAUACACGAAGCAGUAACCGGAGAGGAGUACGUCAGCGACUACGACGGAGAUGACAGUCUUUCAGCCUCCGGAUCCUCCGAAGAUGAAGGCUCGUAGCUUGAACCAGAGAUUGUACGGUGACUUUAAGAGUUGCGAUCAACUACUGGAUCUUCUCUAUCUCAGUCGCCUCAAUCUCUUCUGGCGUUCGUAACCUUUCUCUUU